UAUAAGGUGCCUGAUAAAAGGUUAAUUUUGAUAGAAUUAGAUAUGUGGAUUUUUCACCCUUAUAA
rnacentral:tRNA from 1 species